CUCAGAUUCUAACUUUUCUCUCCCAACGGGCGCCUCCCUCAACAAUCCCGAAGAUCCUUGUGGCCCAUGCCCCGUGGCCUCCCUAGCCCGCGGCGCUGUAGCCCACCCCUUCCUCGACGCCCCGGGCCCUUGCGGCCGCCGUUUGUGAUGAACAGGAGGGGAGGGCUCGGACUUGCGACCCAAGAAAGUGUACUUGUCACAUGGAGCGGGAGAGAGUUGCUUCCAGUUCACCUACUCCAGGACCCAGAGGAUCCAACGUGAAGGAACAGCUCCUCUCACGAACACUGUUGGUCUCCUGGAUGGAGAAGGAAUGUGGUGAACCCUGAGCUGACUCUCAGGGCCUUUGUUCAGAACAUUUUACUUCUGCUCAUAUGUCAUAGGACAAAGCAAAUUACAUGGCUGAGCUGGAUGCAAAUGGGGAGGGGAAGAGGACUCUUCCCACAGGGAGGGGCAUAAGUCACACAGCCAAGGCUGAUGUCAACAGGGCAGGGAUGUAUAAUCCUCCCACAGGGAGGAGUAGCUAAUAUUUUUAACAAUAUUAUAAUCCACCACAGUGACCUCGAGCAUGUCACUUGACCUCUUUGUGCCUUGGUUUUCUCAUUGUUAAAAUGGAAAUAAUAAUAGAACUUACCUCAUAGGGUUGAUAUGAGGAUUCAAACGACUUAAUUCUAGUAGAGCAUUUAAAAUCCUGCCUAGUACAUAAUAAAUGCUAGAUAAGUGGUUGUUAAAUAAAAAUAAAUAAAAUGUUUGUCCAUACAAUUGUUUCCUCUUGCUAUGGUGAAAAUCGUGUAUCCCAUGCUUUAUUAUUACAUGCCUAGAAAUGAAGAUACUUUGCCUACAGGCAUUUAAAAACAAGACAUUUCUAUUUUUAAAAGCCUGUGGCUUUAAAAUUAAGGUUUCCAAAGUUGUGUCAUUGCUUAAACUUCUUGAAAGAUGUCCCUAUCAUGGCUUGCAGUCUGAUUAGUUCUUUCUGGAAAAGAGAAGAGAUUCUGUUUGGUAGGAAUAGG
rnacentral:lncRNA from 1 species